rnacentral:rRNA from 1 species
GACUAGAGUUAGUAGCACUGUAUUCUUGUCUGAUCUCAGAAGCUAAGCAGGGUUAAACCUGGUUAGUACUUGGAUGGGAGACCACCUAGGAAGACCAGGUGCUGUAGCUA